AGUGAACGCUGGCGGUAGGCCUAACACAUGCAAGUCGAACGGCAGCACAGUAAGAGCUUGCUCUUACGGGUGGCGAGUGGCGGACGGGUGAGGAAUACAUCGGAAUCUACUUUUUCGUGGGGGAUAACGUAGGGAAACUUACGCUAAUACCGCAUACGACCUACGGGUGAAAGCAGGGGAUCUUCGGACCUUGCGCGAUUGAAUUAGCCGAUGUCGGAUUAGCUAGUUGGCGGGGUAAAGGCCCACCAAGGCGACGAUCCGUAGCUGGUCUGAGAGGAUGAUCAGCCACACUGGAACUGAGACACGGUCCAGACUCCUACGGGAGGCAGCAGUGGGGAAUAUUGGGCAAUGGGCGCAAGCCUGAUCCAGCCAUACCGAGUGGGUGAAGAAGGCCUUCGGGUUGUAAAGCCCUUUUGUUGGGAAAGAAAAGCAGCAGGUUAAUACCCCGCUGUUCUGACGGUACCCAAAGAAUAAGCACCGGCUAACUUCGUG
rnacentral:rRNA from 1 species